GACACUUCUCAUGAUAUAGCGUAUAAGAUGUCUAACGUUGUGAUUUGUGUUGUUGAUGCGGUUGUAGAGCUGUGUGCUCAGCGCAACGAUUCGCUCAGCCCUUCCCUCGCAGGACGCACAGAGCUGCUGCUUGCCUGUGCCACAAGUGGUGCGCACUGGACAGUCACAAUAUAUAAUCAUCUCACCACAAAUAGAUUCUAAUUCUGUGUGAAAACACUGAGCCAUUUUAAGAGCAAUCGGCGCUUGGCUUUUAAAGGGAAUGAGUGAUGGCACUCUGAUUGAUUUAUUGGAUAUCACGCGCAAAACACUCCCAGGUAUAAGAGCACAACCCCGUUGAACUAUGCGCCUGGCACAGAGACCGUUUUUCCGCUGUUGACAGCAAAAGUGGAUGUGGACACACCCUAAAUACACUUGCGCCAUGAGCUUUAUAUGCGUUUUGGACUGGUAAAGUAGAGCCCCCUGACUUUUAUCAUCCCGAGGUUCCGAGAACGUGUGCAGUUAAUUCAGGUUCAUUAUUCACAGUCUGUGGCUGAAGUUCAACAUACAAUGGCA